UACGGAGGGAGCUAGCGUUGUUCGGAAUUACUGGGCGUAAAGCGCACGUAGGCGGCUUUGUAAGUUAGAGGUGAAAGCCCGGGGCUCAACUCCGGAAUUGCCUUUAAGACUGCAUCGCUUGAACGUCGGAGAGGUGAGUGGAAUUCCGAGUGUAGAGGUGAAAUUCGUAGAUAUUCGGAAGAACACCAGUGGCGAAGGCGGCUCACUGGACGACUGUUGACGCUGAGGUGCGAAAGCGUGGGGAGCAAACAGG
rnacentral:rRNA from 1 species